rnacentral:rRNA from 1 species
GACGAACGCUGGCGGCGUGCCUAAUACAUGCAAGUCGAGCGGACUGAUUAAGAGCUUGCUCUUAUGACGUUAGCGGCGGACGGGUGAGUAACACGUGGGCAACCUGCCCUGUAGAUCGGGAUAACACCGAGAAAUCGGUGCUAAUACCGGGUAAUAUCUGAGAUCACAUGAUCUUAGGUUAAAAGAUGGCUCCGGCUAUCACUACAGGAUGGGCCCGCGGCGCAUUAGCUAGUUGGUAAGGUAAUGGCUUACCAAGGCGACGAUGCGUAGCCGACCUGAGAGGGUGGUCGGCCACACUGGGACUGAGACACGGCCCAGACUCCUACGGGAGGCAGCAGUAGGGAAUCUUCCGCAAAGGACGAAAGUCUGACGGAGCAACGCCGCGUGAGUGAUGAAGGGUUGCGGCUCGUAAAGCUCUGUUGUUAGGGAAGAAACAGUACCGAACGAGCUAGGUCGGUACCGUGACGGUACCUAACCAGAAAGCCACGGCUAACUACGUG